GUAUUUUUAGGUUGCAUAUUUAUUUUUCUUUAUUGUCAUGAUGUACAUAUUGUUCAAGUGAUUAUAUUUAUGUAUUAUCUUUUCUUUUAGCACCUUUUUUGUAUGUAUGGAUGAUAAAUGAAUGUGGCAAAGUACUUUGAACAUGUUUGUAUGGCUAUUUGUUCUUGUCACUUAGUAUAUGUUAAACAACCAUUUGUGAUUCUGUGAUUGGCAUUGGGAUGCAU
rnacentral:lncRNA from 1 species